CAACGAGCGAGACCCACGCCNACAGUUGCCAGCUUGUCCUCCGGAAUGGNGGGGACACUGUUGGGACCGCCUCUGCUAAAGAGGAGGAAGGAAUGGGCAACGGUAGGUCAGCAUGCCCCGAAUUAUCCGGGCUACACGCGGGCUACAAUGGGUGGGACAAUGGGUAUNNACCCCGAAAGGUGAAGGCAAUCUCCUAAACCCAUCCUUAGUUCGGAUUGUGGGCUGCAACUCGCCCNCAUGAAGCUGGAAUCUGUAGUAAUCGC
rnacentral:rRNA from 1 species